rnacentral:rRNA from 1 species
UGGGGAAUAUUGCACAAUGGGCGCAAGCCUGAUGCAGCCAUGCCGCGUGUAUGAAGAAGGCCUUCGGGUUGUAAAGUACUUUCAGCGGGGAGGAAGGGAGUAAAGUUAAUACCUUUGCUCAUUGACGUUACCCGCAGAAGAAGCACCGGCUAACUCCGUGCCAGCAGCCGCGGUAAUACGGAGGGUGCAAGCGUUAAUCGGAAUUACUGGGCGUAAAGCGCACGCAGGCGGUUUGUUAAGUCAGAUAUGAAAUCCCCGGGCUCAACCUGGGAACUGCAUCUGAUACUGGCAAGCUUGAGUCUCGUAGAGGGGGGUAGAAUUCCAGGUGUAGCGGUGAAAUGCGUCGAGAUCUGGAGGAAUACCGGUGGCGAGGGCGGCCCCCUGGACGAAGACUGACGCUCAGGUGCGAAAGCGUGGGGAGCAAACAGG